AAUAGAUACCCAGGUAGUCCACGCCGUAAACGAUGCUCGCUGGAUCUUUUAAGUAUCGACCCUUAGAGGAUCGAAGCUAACGCGUUAAGCGAGCCGCCUGGGAAGUACGGCCGCAAGGCUAAAACUCAAAGGAAUUGACGGGGACCCGCACAAGCGGUGGAACAUGUGGUUUAAUUCGACGAUACGCGAAGAACCUUACCAGGGUUUGACAUCCCGCGAAUUCUUGAGAAAUCAAGAAGUGCCCGGAAGGGAAUGCGGUGACAGGUGCUGCAUGGCUGUCGUCAGCUCGUGCCGUGAGGUGUUCGGUUAAGUCCGGUAACGAGCGUAACCCCUUUUCUGAUUUACAUGGUGUAUCAGAAGACUGCCCUGGUUAACAGGGAGGAAGGUGGGGAUGACGUCUAGUCAGCAUGGCCCUUAUACCCUGGGGCGACACACAUGUUACAAUGGCCGGUACAAUGGGUUGCCAAAUCGCAAGAUGGAGCUAAUCCCAUUCAAAACCGGUCCAAGUUCGGAUUGCACUCUGCAACUCGGGUGCAUGAAGUUGG
rnacentral:rRNA from 1 species